AGGAGACACAGAACAACAUGUGGUUAAACUUUUCACUAUACGAGGGUUAGAGUCAGUUUAACUGCUGUCGUUCAGCUACAGUGAGACAGUUCAGACUGCAGAGAGAUCAGCUCUUAAGACAAACUGUCUGCUCUGUUAUUUGCAAGUGAUCAGAUCAGAUUUGUGUGACCAGUCUAUCUGUGUGGGUUGCUGUGGUAACGACAUAGGCGUCAGUAACUAUGCAUGCUGGUGACGCAGCUUUCCAACGCGGAAGUAUGAGAAAUGGAGAUCCAUCAUCCCUCCAAAGUGCCAACAGACACUUUGUUUCAGUGUCUGUCCACAGACUGUAGUUCUCUGUGUUACCUGCUAGUGUCUGCUAGUAGCUGUUAGUAGCAGCUAGUAGCUGUUAGUAGCUUCCAGACCUUCUAAAAUCAAUCCGGAUAUGACAAAAACCAAAUCUGUGCUGGCAGUCUGAACAAGGCUGAAGUCUUUAUCAGACCAUCAGCAGUGUUUGAGGAAACUGAAGAGCAGGUUAAAGGAACAUGCUGAGAGUUUUUCCCAUGAUGCUGUUGAAGAGGUCGAGGGCGGAGUUUCCUGCCACCAUGAAGAAGUCGGACAGGAAGAGGAACU